GCUUCCUUUUUCACUUUUCACUGAUUAUGUAAUUCUCUUGGUGAAUUUCUUAUUUGCGUACGGUUAUGAAUGUUUUGCGUUUGUUUUUAGUGGAAUUUAGCCUUUUUUGGGUGAAAUUUAGCUUGUUUUGCUUUAAUUUUUUUUCUUUUCAUCUGAUUUUGGUGCUUUUUGUGCGAAUAAUUUCGUUUGUUACGCGAAAUUUUAGUUAAUCUAGCUAUGAACUUUACUUGCUUUCGUGCAGUCUUUGAAUUGAAGGCAGUUACGGUGCAAUCUUAAGUUCUUAACGUCCAAAGCUUCUAUUUUUAGCUGAAGUUUGACUAAUAUCUUUCUAGUUCACUGCUAAACUCGUCACCGGCGAGUUUUCCCUUCACUGAAAGUGGUUUCUUGUCUUUAUUCUCUUAAAAGAACAGCUUUUCUCUGUUGUUUUUUUUUUUUCAAAGAAAUCCUUAAUUUUAUUUUCUCUAUUCUAACUUUUUU
rnacentral:misc_RNA from 1 species